CUUCGGGAGAAGGUGCGCCGGCUAGGGUGAAGGAUUUACUCCGUAAGCUCUGGCUGGUCGAAGAUACCAGGCCGCUGCGACUGUUUAUUAAAAACACAGCACUCUGCAAACACGAAAGUGGACGUAUAGGGUGUGACGCCUGCCCGGUGCCGGAAGGUUAAUUGAUGGGGUUAGCGCAAGCGAAGCUCUUGAUCGAAGCCCCGGUAAACGGCGGCCGUAACUAUAACGGUCCUAAGGUAGCGAAAUUCCUUGUCGGGUAAGUUCCGACCUGCACGAAUGGCGUAACGAUGGCGGCGCUGUCUCCACCCGAGACUCAGUGAAAUUGAAAUCGCUGUGAAGAUGCAGUGUAUCCGCGGCUAGACGGAAAGACCCCGUGAACCUUUACUGUAGCUUUGCACUGGACUUUGAGCCUGCUUGUGUAGGAUAGGUGGGAGGCUUUGAAGCGUGGACGCCAGUUCGCGUGGAGCCAUCCUUGAAAUACCACCCUGGCAUGCUUGAGGUUCUAACUCUGGUCCGUGAUCCGGAUCGAGGACAGUGUAUGGUGGGCAGUUUGACUGGGGCGGUCUCCUCCUAAAGAGUAACGGAGGAGUACGAAGGUGCGCUCAGACCGGUCGGAAAUCGGUCGCAGAGUAUAAAGGCAAAAGCGCGCUUGACUGCGAGACAGACACGUCGAGCAGGUACGAAAGUAGGUCUUAGUGAUCCGGUGGUUCUGUAUGGAAGGGCCAUCGCUCAACGGAUAAAAGGUACUCCGGGGAUAACAGGCUGAUACCGCCCAAGAGUUCAUAUCGACGGCGGUGUUUGGCACCUCGAUGUCGGCUCAUCACAUCCUGGGGCUGAAGCCGGUCCCAAGGGUAUGGCUGUUCGCCAUUUAAAGUGGUACGCGAGCUGGGUUUAGAACGUCGUGAGACAGUUCGGUCCCUAUCUGCCGUGGACGUUUGAGAUUUGAGAGGGGCUGCUCCUAGUACGAGAGGACCGGAGUGGACGAACCUCUGGUGUUCCGGUUGUCACGCCAGUGGCAUUGCCGGGUAGCUAUGUUCGGAAAAGAUAACCGCUGAAAGCAUCUAAGCGGGAAACUUGCCUCAAGAUGAGAUCUCACUGGGAACUUGAUUCCCCUGAAGGGCCGUCGAAGACUACGACGUUGAUAGGCUGGGUGUGUAAGCGUUGUGAGGCGUUGAGCUAACCAGUACUAAUUGCCCGUGAGGCUUGACCAU
rnacentral:rRNA from 1 species